rnacentral:rRNA from 1 species
AGAGUUUGAUCCUGGCUCAGGAUGAACGCUGGCGGUAUGCCUAACACAUGCAAGUCGAACGAAGCCUUCGGGCUUAGUGGCGGACGGGGGAGUAACGCGUGAGAAUCUGCCUUCAGGACGGGGCAACAGUUGGAAACGACUGCUAAUACCCGAUAUGCCGAGAGGUGAAAUGUUUUUUCGCCUGAAGAUGAGCUCGCGUCUGAUUAGCUAGUUGGUGGGGUAAGAGCCUACCAAGGCGACGAUCAGUAGCUGGUCUGAGAGGAUGAGCAGCCACACUGGGACUGAGACACGGCCCAGACUCCUACGGGAGGCAGCAGUGGGGAAUUUUCCGCAAUGGGCGAAAGCCUGACGGAGCAAUACCGCGUGAGGGAGGAAGGUCUUUGGAGUGUAAACCGCUUUUCUCAAGGAAGAUGAUGACGGUACUUGAGGAAUCAGCAUCGGCUAACUUCGUGCCAGCAGCCGCGGUAAUACGAGGGAUGCAAGCGUUAUCCGGAAUUAUUGGGCGUAAAGCGUUCGUAGGCGGUCUUGGAAGGCUGUUGUUAAAGCGUGGAGCUUAACUCCAUACCGGCAAUGGAAACUGGUUAGCUAGAGUAUGGUAGGGGUAACAGGAAUUCCCAGUGUAGCGGUGAAAUGCGUAGAUAUUGGGAAGAACACCAGCGGCGAAAGCGUGUUACUGGGCCAUAACUGACGCUCAUGGACGAAAGCCAGGGGAGCGAAAGGGAUUAGAUACCCCUGUAGUCCUGGCCGUAAACGAUGAACACUAGGUGUCGGGGGAAUCGACCCCCUCGGUGUCGUAGCCAACGCGUUAAGUGUUCCGCCUGGGGAGUACGCACGCAAGUGUGAAACUCAAAGGAAUUGACGGGGGCCCGCACAAGCGGUGGAGUAUGUGGUUUAAUUCGAUGCAACGCGAAGAACCUUACCAGGGUUUGACAUCCUGCGAAUCUCUUGGAAACGAGAGAGUGCCUUCGGGAACGCAGUGACAGGUGGUGCAUGGCUGUCGUCAGCUCGUGUCGUGAGAUGUUGGGUUAAGUCCCGCAACGAGCGCAACCCACGUCGUUAGUUGCCAGCAUUUAGUUGGGCACUCUAGCGAGACCGCCGGUGAUAAACCGGAGGAAGGUGUGGAUGACGUCAAGUCAUCAUGCCCCUUACAUCCUGGGCUACACACGUACUACAAUGCUACGGACAAAGGGCAGCAAACUCGCGAGAGCUAGCAAAUCCCAUAAACCGUGGCUCAGUUCAGAUCGUAGGCUGCAACUCGCCUACGUGAAGGAGGAAUCGCUAGUAAUCGCAGGUCAGCAUACUGCGGUGAAUACGUUCCCGGGCCUUGUACACACCGCCCGUCACACCAUGGAAGUUGGCCACGCCCGAAGCCGUUACCCUAACCGUAAGGAGGGGGACCCCUAAGGCAGGGCUGAUGACUGGGGUGAAGUCGUAACAAGGUAACC